rnacentral:rRNA from 1 species
GACAGAGGUCCCGAGCGUUAUCCGGAUUCACUGGGCGUGAAGGGCGUCUAGGCGGUCUCGUAAGUCACCUGUGAAAGCUCCUGGCUCAACUGGGAGAGGUCGGGUGAAACUACGGGGCUAGAGCCUCGGAGGGGAGAGUGGAACUUCCAGAGUAACGGUGAAAUGUGCAGAUACUGGAAGGUACCUCGAUAGCGAAGGCAGCUCUCUGGCCGACGGCUGACGCUAAAGCGCGAAAGCGUGGGGAGCAAACCGG